CUAAAUUGUACAUUUAAUUUCAUUAAAGAACAGAUAAGAAACCACACACACACACGCACAAAAAUGCAAAAUAUAAGGUAUUGAACUACUUUUCUUGAUUUUUGCUGCAUCUGAUAGAGAUCAGGCAUACAAUGAGUGUGCUGUUGAGUUCCAUCCACAGAACCUGAAGAGGCUUUGGAGAAGCUGAAGGGAAAAAAGUUGUAACUCUGCCGGAAGUGGAGCUCUGCUUUGUCCCUGUGACCUCUGUCAUCUGCUCUACUGCUCUCCAAGCAACACCAUAAUGGCAGCCAUGGCAAACUGCUCAGUGGCAGAGUGCUGGCCUGGAGCCACCAGAAAGGGACCUGGACUGUUAACAAUUAUAGCCACAAAGACCAAGAUAUUUCGCCAUCUCUGCCUUAGGGUAUGACGGUCAACUUCUGUUGACAUCAGCAGAAAAACUCUUCCUUUUGAAAGAACCGCUGAACAGAGCCAUUACUCAGAAAAAGUCAUGCAUUGACUCACCAACACCUCUUCUUAUGUUUUCCUUGGAGAUUCGAACUGUUAGACCUUCUGAAAGAAGAUCACAUAUUGAAAUGAUGGAAGAAGACAGUGUGACCUAGUGACUGGUGGUUUGGUGUAUCUGUCGUUGGCUUAUUGCUAUUGCUUAAUUCUAGAGUAUAGUGACCCAUGCAUGGGAGAGUACUAAGCAGUGCACUUGUGCAAUUUUUAUAUGGCAAGCCCAGUACAGUUUAUAUUUUGGGCAUUAUGCAGAUGUAAUUUUUUGGGACAAAAAUCAUCUUCCAAAGAUGAAACUAAGGUGGUAACUCUAAUCUGCUGCCCACUUACAUAUCUAGCAACUCAUUUUCAAGUGCUAAUCUGUUUUGCUGCAUCCCACCCAGCAUGACAGCUGUGGUGAGAACUGAGUCAUAUUCUUUGGUGACUCUGAAAUUUGUCAUCACAUGUAGCAGAGCUCUGCUGCAGUAUUACUUUCAGAAUAGGCUUCUGAUGGUCUCCCAAGGGGUUACAUUCCUGUUUGAACACCAGUGGUCAGGCCUCCACACCACAUAUGUGUAACUUUAUAUCUCUUGCUGGAUUUCCAUUAUUUUCCCACAAAUUCCCUAUGAGUAAGUAAUGAUAUGCUAAGCACUUUGUUGUUGGAAUGCUUUCUACUUUAGUUCUGUGAACUUCCACCAGUUUUACUGAGAGAUGUUGCAGAGGCAAUUGCCCAGUUGGUAAAAACUGUUAAAAUGAAAAGAUAAAGACAAGAUAUAACUCCCUCAAGCACUGGAUGGCCCUGCUUUCCCAGGCAGAUUAAUUAAAAAACAUAAACUACCAUGGCUCACUCACUUCAUCCCAAAGCCUAUGCUAUAAAAUCAGACAGAUAAGUCUUCCCAGGAGCAGCAUUUUCCCCUUUGCCAGCGCUGAGCUCAAUAAAAGACCAUAACUAAGCUGAUUAUACUGAUGGAGGAAGA
rnacentral:lncRNA from 1 species